GGUGGCUUAGUGGUAGAGUGCUUGCCUUGUAUGCAUAAGGCCCUGGGUUCAAUUCCUCAGCACCA
rnacentral:tRNA from 1 species